rnacentral:ncRNA from 2 species
AAUCAAGAGAUCCGGUGGCAAGCCCUGGCUGGCCGGACGGCAACCCUCCUGCUGUAGCGGGGUGCUCCAGGUGAGGAUUCGACGGCGCCGGCAGACCGGCGUCGUAAGUAUGGCGC